UGCCUGAUAGAGAACAGAGAGGUACCUGGGAGGCAUCCACAGGGGAUCUGAGCUCUUGGAAGGUCUGAGGCUGGAUGUUACUGGUGGUCACAAGCCCACGCACCUUACUAUCCAGACUCUCGCUUGGUCUUUAGAUCCGUGUGCUUGGUUUACAGACCAAUGGUUUCUCGGCCCAGGACCCGAGAAGGAGCUCUACCAUGGGGGAAGGAACCACUGGAGUUUGAAGGCUCCUGAGAGCUUGGCCUUUUUACUGUUGGGCCGUCUCUUAAACCUCCUAAUACUGAGUUGGUACUUUUGGUCCCUAUUUCACAAGGGUUAGGACAGAUUAACCAAGAAAGGACAAGUGACAGAGACUGAAAGGGGCUGGAAAAACAAAUAGGGAAAGGCCUGUCACUACAGUAUAAUUGAUGGUUCCUAUCACAAGCCUGGGUCACAAACAGAUUAAUUUGUUCUAUGUUUAUAUACUGUUUAGAAUGUUAACACAGGAAGGUGGAUAAAAUACAGUUUCUAGUGCCAAAAAAAAAAAAAAAAAA
rnacentral:lncRNA from 1 species